UUUAGGGAGACCUACACCCCUCAAAUAUCGAAAGCAAACAGCAAAUAGAUAAUGAGUUGGUCUAUCCAGGUCGGUCGAGAUUGGUUGAAAGCUUUCAAAGUAUUACUUUUUCGGUAUUAUAGAUUUAUUUUUUGAAACAGUUGUAUAGAUACAAAUUCAGCAACAUGGCUAAAGCCAGACUGCUGGGUUAUUUAUCAGCCAGAACCUUGAAAACUGCAUAGUAACGCGAAAAAAGCAGGCAGACACAGACAUUGAUAGUGCUGAGUGCGCAGUGAUGAGUGGUGAGGUAAUGACUCAGGACUCAGGAGUGUUAGCUCAGAACUAAAAAAAGAAGUGUUUGCAGAUUGUAAGCCAAUUGUAUUGU
rnacentral:misc_RNA from 1 species